rnacentral:lncRNA from 1 species
GCCAGACUUGCUGCCUGGAAGUGGAAGCAGGGCUCUCUCAUCUGUGUUGAGAAAGGCACUCAUCUGUGUAUCUAGCGAGACGGGAGAAAGUGGUCAUUUUAGAACAAGCCACCACAAGCCAGGGCAAGUUGAGCAGUGAAGUGGCAGCCUGCUGUGUUGGGGUGAUGGCCUCACUUUUGUCAUAUUAAUGUGAGAUACAUAAGCAGAGUCUCACUGUGUCGCCCAGGCUGGAGUGCAACGGCGCGAUCUCAGCGGCUCACUGCAACCUCAGCCUCCUGGUUCAAGCAAUUCUCCUGCCUCAGCCUCCUGAGUAGCUGGGAUUGCAGAUGCGCACCAGUAUUAUCACAAUUUAAAAAAGGGUUUUGUAAAAUAUUAACUCUCAAUCUCCACUAAACCUAAAACAUCUCAUAUACACUCUAAUAUCAAAAAACAAAUGGUUUAACUGUAUUUAAACAGUGGGAAUAAACAUAGAGAGGUCAUUAUGUCAAUAUCAAGUUCACUCUAAUGUGUGAGUAAAUUUUAUGAUUAAGAAGUGUUGUCUAAUUGUUUUCUAAGGCAGUGGGACUCACCUAGCACAGCUGUGAAAAUUCCACAUCUUUUCACACUGAAGUUUAAAUUGAAAAAUAGAGGCCAUGUAAGUUUAUGAAGUAUGGUGAUAAAGUUAUUUCGUGACCGUUUUUUUUAAAUGUCUAUCAAUGGAAAUACUGUAACUGAUGUGGUGGUAAUAUUUAGCUACCAGAAAAAAACCAUGGCUAAGCCUUAUGAAUAUUAUCACUUCUCCCUGUAUAGGCCUGCACUGGAAAAGUCAUUCAUUCAACUACAGUAUUACACCUCUCAUGGUAACCAUUACUGGAGGCUGAUUCUUUACCUCUCCACCUCCUUUAAUCUGUAACAAGAGAGUGAUGGCUACAAUUCCACAGACUUUAAACACUGGUCAGCAUUUAAGUUUUUCUUCUAUCUUUCAGGAGGCACUAAGAACAUAUUUUGCACAAAAAACACUAAUAAGAUUGCAGAAUAAAAGUCUCAAUCAUGCAUAUAUUCUUUCCCCACUUCUUUUACUCUUCUGUUGAGUUAGUGCUUAAAACAAAAUACCGCACCUUUCUCCAUCAAUUUCCUCCAUGAAAUUCAAAGUAUUCAGGUGAGGAUAGGUUAUUUUCACAUCCAGCCUGUGUAUCUCGCUGCAUCAUGAGAAGCUCAGCUGCUGCUGUUGUUUUGUUUUUGUCUGAAGGCAGGAUGUGUUUGAUUCUCUUUUUAAAGUUACUCAAGAGAAAAUGUUGACUGCUGUAAUAAAAAUCUGGAUGAAAUUGUAGUACAAUGUGUUCUGAGACUCAUACUCUAGGAAAUGUAUGCAGAGUACACUGAGAUUAAUAAAUGAAGUGGAAAAAUCUUCUAUAUUAAAAUGUUUUUCUCUUGAAA